rnacentral:tRNA from 1 species
UAAAAGAUAAGCUAAUAAAGCUAUUGGAUUCAUACUUCAUAUAUGAAGGUAAACCCCUUCUCUUUUAA